GACGAACGCUGGCGGCGUGCCUAACACAUGCAAGUCGAACGGGUGAGAGGAGCUUGCUCCUUGAUCUAGUGGCGAACGGGUGAGUAACGCGUGAGAAACCUGCCUUUCAGUGGGGGACAACAGUUGGAAACGACUGCUAAUACCGCAUAAUGUGCCGGGAGGGCAUCCUCCUGGUACCAAAGCUUUAUGUGCUGAAAGAUGGUCUCGCGUCUGAUUAGCUAGAUGGCGGGGUAACGGCCCACCAUGGCGACGAUCAGUAGCCGGUCUGAGAGGAUGAACGGCCACAUUGGGACUGAGAUACGGCCCAGACUCCUACGGGAGGCAGCAGUGGGGAAUAUUGCGCAAUGGGGGCAACCCUGACGCAGCAACGCCGCGUUGAGGAUGACGGUUUUCGGAUUGUAAACUCAUGUCGGUGGGAAGAUAAUGACGGUACCACCGGAGAAAGUCACGGCUAACUACGUG
rnacentral:rRNA from 1 species